AGUGAACGCUGGCGGUAGGCCUAACACAUGCAAGUCGAACGGCAGCACAGUAAGAGCUUGCUCUUACGGGUGGCGAGUGGCGGACGGGUGAGGAAUACAUCGGAAUCUACUUUUUCGUGGGGGAUAACGUAGGGAAACUUACGCUAAUACCGCAUACGACCUACGGGUGAAAGCAGGGGAUCUUCGGACCUUGCGCGAUUGAAUGAGCCGAUGUCGGAUUAGCUAGUUGGCGGGGUAAAGGCCCACCAAGGCGACGAUCCGUAGCUGGUCUGAGAGGAUGAUAAGCCACACUGGAACUGAGACACGGUCCAGACUCCUACGGGAGGCAGCAGUGGGGAAUAUUGGACAAUGGGCGCAAGCCUGAUCCAGCCAUACCGCGUGGGUGAAGAAGGCCUUCGGGUUGUAAGGCCCUUUUGUUGGGAAAGAAAAGCAGCAGGUUAAUACCCCGCUGUUCUGACGGUACCCAAAGAAUAAGCACCGGCUAACUUCGUG
rnacentral:rRNA from 1 species